UCUAAAGCACAACACGGAGUUUAUCAUUCCGGUUUUUGCAGACACAACACCGUUUGUGUUGAGCGACUCACCCUCGAAAUACGCGAUCUCACUAACAAAAUAUACAACCUGUUGUUACAAAUGGUUAUUACAACUUUUAGACUGAUCUUGCGAAUAGUAACAAAAAAAAACGAGUUAAUGCGUUAAACUCAAAUUUAGAGUAGGAGUUACUCAAUAUCAUUGAUGAUAACUACUCAAUUUUUGACGUUUCCAUGUAUCAUUUGAAAAUGAGUAACUAGUACUCAAACUUUGAGUAACUUUUUCUAAGCGUGUAGAAUGGUUUCAAAUGUCAAAUUGCAUAUUUUACGUGACGAAAAUGAAUGUUAUACGAACAUCCCCUAAAAAGAAUAGAGUCAUCACAUAAGGUUUACGUGAAUUGACCAAACGUCAAACAAUCUACGUGAAUUUCCAGUGUAAAAAACUCGAUUUUGAAAAUGGCGAGCAGUGGCCCUCGAAGUUAUGAAAGUUUCCAUGUGUUCAACUGGACCGAGUGCCUGCGUGAGUCCGGAAGUUUACCCGCUCCUGCCGAAUGCUUCAAACAGGCCGUCGGUAUGAAGCUAGAGACACUGGAACCAUGUAAUGCGACUUCAACCUGCAUCGGUAGUGUUGUGGGAGUUCUUGGAUCUUGACUGCGGCUUCGGUUGGAUGGCAGUGACAACAUAAACGAUUUCUGGAGGCUUGUCGAUUUGAGAUACCACGACGUUAUUAGUUGCUUUUUAAGCCAUUAUAAUUGUAUGACAAUUUUUUGAUAUAAAUGUUUUAUAUUUCA